rnacentral:rRNA from 1 species
UACGUAGGGUGCAAGCGUUGUCCGGAAUUAUUGGGCGUAAAGAGCUCGUAGGUGGCCUGUCGCGUCGGCUGUGAAAACUCGGGGCUCAACUCCGAGCUUGCAGUCGAUACGGGCAGGCUAGAGUUCGGCAGGGGAGACUGGAAUUCCUGGUGUAGCGGUGAAAUGCGCAGAUAUCAGGAGGAACACCCGUGGCGAAGGCGGCUCUCUGGGACGGUACUGACGCUGAGACGCGAAAGCGUGGGGAGCGAACAGG